rnacentral:ncRNA from 1 species
AUAACCACUAAGAAUAGGAAAUUAUCUUUAUCUUUAUCUAGUCAGCGAACCCAAUUUAGUGUGAGUGGGGAUAGGAAAGUAAAGUGAAAGUAGCCUAGGAGUGCCUGAAGUGAAAGUAAUUGUAGCUUUAGGCGGGUGCGCCCGUUAUAGCGUCAACGUAUCUAGUUAACUAUGUACGGGGUAAGGGAAUAAUAGUAAUAUUAUUCUAAAAUAAGGUGGUAACACGCGUGAUAACGUCCUUAUG